rnacentral:lncRNA from 13 species
CUCCCAUCGCCAACGCUGGAGUGCAAUGGUGCUUUCACAGCUCACUGUAGUCUCAAAUUCCUGUGCUCAGAGCAACCACCUGACUUCUGUACUGGGAGAUGAGCAUCCAGAGCCCAGCCCUUCAGAGAGUGGGCCUGGGAACCUGAGCCCAGAGGAAAUACCUGCUAACCCAGAGCUGCGGGCAGGGCCCGUGUUACCCAGACCCUCAGGUUUUGCCCGUGGAGCAUUGGGAGUGAACGUCGGCGCAUGUCGCACAGUUGGUGGAGUGGACACUGUCGGAGCUCCACCCGGCUGCCCUUGGAUCCUCUUAGCCUUUCUGUGUGCCCAGGUUCCAGGUGCUUUCAUCUGAAGCUUCCAGGUGAGGUUUUUCUUCUGAGGAUUGCCGUUGGGCUCCUGGAGCCACUAGCUGCACAGCACAGGGACCUGGGAGUGCCUGGGAGUUUAUUUCCACGCCAGGUGGCCCUUGGCCAUAGAUGGACAGAGAUACAAGAAUAUGAAAGUCUAGCUCCUUUGCCUCUAGGCACAAACUCUGAGCUGUAAUUUACAUUCCUCGGCUCCCAGUGGGAUCAGACUGAGGCUGGGACGCUAUCUGCUAGUGCACCCUUGCUUGGCGUUUUCUCUUUCCUGUCUUCUUCCCCACCCCACCCCUACGCCGUCCUGCCAGUUUCUCAUGGAAGCACUGAGUACACCACUUGCCCGGGAAUCCUUGCCUUGGGGUUCGCUGCUAAGCUAGUCCCCCUGUGAUAGGGAUCAGCAGGCUGUGAGUGUGCAACACUUUCCCUAGCUCAUGCUUGGGAGGGCCUGGAC